GACGAACGCUGGCGGCGUGCUUAAUACAUGCAAGUCGAACGAAGUGGCGAACGGGUGAGUAACGCGUAAUCAACCUGCCCUUCAGAGGGGGACCACAGUUGGAAACGACCGCUAAUACCGCAUACUGAAGGAGGGGAGUGCGUUUGAUUUGCUAGUUGGCGGGGUAACGGCCCACCAAGGCGAUGAUAAGUAGCCGGUCUGGGAGGAUGAACGGCCAAAUGGGGACUGAGACACGGCCCAGACUCCUACGGGAGGCAGCAGUGGGGAAUCUUCCGCAAUGGACGAAAGUCUGACGGAGCAACGCCGCGUGAGUGAUGACGGCCUUCGGGUUGUAAAGCUCUGUUAAUCGGGACGCGGUACCGGAAUAGAAAGCCACGGCUAACUACGUGCCAGCAGCCGCGGUAAUUC
rnacentral:rRNA from 1 species